GAUGAACGCUAGCGACAGGCCUAACACAUGCAAGUCGAGGGGCAGCACAUGAGUAGCAAUACGAUGGUGGCGACCGGCGCACGGGUGAGUAGCACGUAUGCAACCUACCGGUAAAAGGGGGAUAGCCUCUCGAAAGAGAGAUUAAUACCGCAUAAUAUCUUUGGAUGGCAUCACUUAGAGAUUAAACAUUUAUGGUUUACCGAUGGGCAUGCGUAUGAUUAGCUAGUAGGUGAGGUAACGGCUCACCUAGGCAACGAUCAUUAGGGGUUCUGAGAGGAAGGUCCCCCACACUGGUACUGAGACACGGACCAGACUCCUACGGGAGGCAGCAGUGAGGAAUAUUGGUCAAUGGGCGAGAGCCUGAACCAGCCAAGUCGCGUGAAGGAUGAAGGUUCUAUGGAUUGUAAACUUCUUUUGUAAGGGAAUAAAAAGUGGUACGUGUACCAUAUUGUAUGUACUUUACGAAUAAGGAUCGGCUAACUCCGUGCCAGCCGCCGCCGUAACAC
rnacentral:rRNA from 1 species